GCUUUUUUGACUGAUUUAAUUCAUCUUUUUCUGCUAUUAGAAGUCCUGACUGCAAUCCAAAGACAAAAAAAGAGAACAAAAAAGAUCCAGUGCCAGAAGGGAGAAAUCUUCAGUGUGAGUGAAAGUAAUCUACCCUCAAUUUUGUUGACUAUUACAGGAAAGUCAUUUUACUGCUGGAGAGACAAAGAUUCAUCAUGUGCCUGCUUGCAAAAAUGAGAAGAGAAAGGGAGAGCCAUUGGAACUGUGGAUCUGAUGUGUUCAAUAUAUCUUAUGCAGAUGGGGAGACACCUUAUAAAGAUCACAGAAUUGCUAAGAAUGCAAGAGAAACAGAUGUCCUCCCAUGUGCAUUCCAGCUUAUUUUGGCAUCAUCUCAGCUGAUUCCAGGUGACUAAGGCAGAUAUCUAAAAGAAGAGGAAUGAGAGAACUGAAGAAAAAUGACAAGAAAAAGGAAAUUCAACUUUCACCAUAACUGGGGCCUGUGGAAAGUUCAGGUCUUUACCUCUUCCAAGCUGUAUUCUGCUUUUCACUUGCAAGGAAACUUGCCAUGUUUCUGAGUAUUUUCCCAGCUGUUGUCUCACUGUACGUGCUGCCCUAGAGAUAUGUGUGUGUCUGUGGGUGUUGCUGGAAAUGUAGUGUGCUUCCCCCACAUCCACUGCAGCAUACAGUUUGCUUGGUUUGCUUGUGUGAUUAAGGUAAGCGCUAAAAAUGUUAGCAGCCUAGAACCAUUACAAGUCUAAAAGUUGUUCUUCCCUCUCUUCUCUUCUAGGCUUGUGACAUAUGGCCUUUCCCUUGCUAGAGUUCUGCAAUCCUUCAUGGUCUUAGCUCUAAAAAGCCAUUUGUUUGACAUUGUUGGAUGCCCUUAGGCAAAUUAAGACCCUGGUGAAACAGUUUAGUCACAGUCUGGUCUAGUCCACAAAGAAUUUGAAAACAGUUAAGGCUAAAAUAGAAGGAUUUUUAUGGUUCCUUGCCAUAAUAUUUUUAUUUUAUCUUCAAUAUGUACCUCUUAAAUUGCCCAAACUUUUAGUCAGUCCCACUGGACCAUUAUUUUUUCUCUUCUGGAGAUUUUUUUUUUCCAAUACCUUGGAUUUGAUCUGGUCUCUCCCUCUGACACAAAUUGACCAGCUAGCAUCACUAUGUAAGAAAACAGCCCUCUAGUUUAGCUUGCAUUCAUGUGGGUCUCUUGUGAUCCAGUUUAAACCUGAGAUUUUCCAACACCACAUUCUCUCAAAACACAGUGAAAUUUCUUUUUUAUGUCGUAUGUUGGGGGGUGAUUAUGGAGUGUGGGUGAGAAUGAGGAAUAAGGACAGGAAUGCAAGAGACUUUUGUUUCUCUAGUUUUCUGUACUGAUUUCCAAGCAGCAAGGCUAGUUCAGCACAGCUGGCAAUUUUUUUUUUAAAUUCUGGAUGGAAAUAAAGAGAGGAACAGGGUGAAAUUUCCCUCUCUC
rnacentral:lncRNA from 1 species